rnacentral:rRNA from 1 species
GCUACAGGCUUAACACAUGCAAGUCGAGGGGCAGCAUGGUCUUAGCUUGCUAAGGCCGAUGGCGACCGGCGCACGGGUGAGUAACACGUAUCCAACCUGCCGUCUACUCUUGGACAGCCUUCUGAAAGGAAGAUUAAUACAAGAUGGCAUCAUGAGUCCGCAUGUUCACAUGAUUAAAGGUAUUCCGGUAGACGAUGGGGAUGCGUUCCAUUAGAUAGUAGGCGGGGUAACGGCCCACCUAGUCUUCGAUGGAUAGGGGUUCUGAGAGGAAGGUCCCCCACAUUGGAACUGAGACACGGUCCAAACUCCUACGGGAGGCAGCAGUGAGGAAUAUUGGUCAAUGGGCGAGAGCCUGAACCAGCCAAGUAGCGUGAAGGAUGACUGCCCUAUGGGUUGUAAACUUCUUUUAUAAAGGAAUAAAGUCGGGUAUGUAUACCCGUUUGCAUGUACUUUAUGAAUAAGGAUCGGCUAACUCCGUGCCAGCAGCCGCGGUAAUACGGAGGAUCCGAGCGUUAUCCGGAUUUAUUGGGUUUAAAGGGAGCGUAGAUGGAUGUUUAAGUCAGUUGUGAAAGUUUGCGGCUCAACCGUAAAAUUGCAGUUGAUACUGGAUAUCUUGAGUGCAGUUGAGGCAGGCGGAAUUCGUGGUGUAGCGGUGAAAUGCUUAGAUAUCACGAAGAACUCCGAUUGCGAAGGCAGCCUGCUAAGCUGCAA